rnacentral:rRNA from 1 species
AGCGAACGCUGGCGGCAGGCCUAACACAUGCAAGUCGAACGAACCUUUCGGGGUUAGUGGCGGACGGGUGAGUAACACGUGGGAACGUGCCUUUAGGUUCGGAAUAACUCAGGGAAACUUGUGCUAAUACCGAAUGUGCCCUUCGGGGGAAAGAUUAAUCGCCUUUAGAGCGGCCCGCGUCUGAUUAGCUAGUUGGUUGAGGUAAUGGCUCACCAAGGCGACGUUCAGUAGCUGGUCUGAGAGGAUGAUCAGCCACAUUGGGACUGAGACACGGCCCAAACUCCUACGGGAGGCAGCAGUGGGGAAUCUUGCGCAAGGGGCGAAAGCCUGACGCAGCCAUGCCGCGUGAAUGAUGAAGGUCUUAGGAUUGUAAAAUUCUUUCACCGGGGACGAUAAUGACGGUACCCGGAGAAGAAGCCCCGGCUAACUUCGUG